GGAGGGAUGGCCGAGCGGACGAAGGCGGCAGUCUCGAAAACUGUUGAACCGGUUUGACUGGUUCCGUGGGUUCGAAUCCCACUCCCUCCGCCA
rnacentral:tRNA from 1 species